GCCCGGAUGGCGGAAUGGUAGACGCAUCGGACUUAAAAUCCGAUUUCCGCAAGGAAGUGCGGGUUCGAUCCCCGCUCCGGGCACCA
rnacentral:tRNA from 1 species